CAGCUAGUUGGCGGGGUAAUGGCCCACCAAGGCAAAGAUCGGUAGCCGGCCUGAGAGGGCGCACGGCCACACUGGAACUGAAACACGGUCCAGACUCCUACGGGAGGCAGCAGUGGGGAAUUUUGCGCAAUGGGGGAAACCCUGACGCAGCAACGCCGCGUGGAGGAUGAAGUCCCUUGGGACGUAAACUCCUUUCGACCCGGACGAUAAUGACGGUACGGGUGGAAAAAGCCCCGGCUAACUUCGUGCCAGCAGCCGCGGUAAUACAAGGGGGGCAAGCGUUGUUCGGAAUUAUUGGGCGUAAAGGGCGCGUAGGCGGUGCGGUAAGUCACCUGUGAAACCUCUAGGCUCAACCUAAAGCCUGCAGGCAAAACUGCCGUGC
rnacentral:rRNA from 1 species